AAGGUCUAACAGUAAGCAGAAUUGGCACACCCCAAAACGUCAGGUCGAGGUGUAGCGCAUGGAAGGGGAAGAAAUGGGCUACAUUCACUACACCAGUGAACACGGAUAGUGCAUUGAAACAUGCACUUGAAGGAGGAUUUAGCAGUAAGUAGAAAGCAGAGUGUUCCACUGAAAAUGGCCCUGAAGCGCGCACACACCGCCCGUCACUCUCCCCGAGCUCCCCCAAACUCCAUUAACUAAAAUCAGCACUCGCAAUUAGGGGAGGCAAGUCGUAACAUGGUAAGUGUACCGGAAGGUGUACUUGGAAUAUA
rnacentral:rRNA from 1 species